AGGCUGCGUAGCGUCUCUGUUAAAUGAGCUGGAUCACGAUGUACUCCUAACCACACACCAUUCACGAAGACCUUUGUUGCAUUAGGAGACGCUGAAGGGUUGUAAUCUUCCAGUGUUUCUAAACCCCAUUCUUCUAAAAACUCGAUAAUUGGAGCACUGGGUGAACCUACGGAAACAUAGCUCAUUAGAGACAAAUUUUUGACUAAGCCGCAAGCUUGUCCUUCUGGUGUUUCAGCAGGGCAAACCAUACCCCAGUGUGUGUUGUGCAACUGACGGGGUUUAGCCAAUUUUCCGUCUCUACCGAUAGGAGUAUUUGUACGUCUUAAAUGUGAUAAAGUUGAAGCGAAUGUAUAUCGGUUAAGAACUUGUGAUACACCAACCCGAUUAACCAUACUGCGUUUUUGGUCUC